UACGUAGGGGGCAAGCGUUGUCCGGAUUUAUUGGGCGUAAAGAGCGUGUAGGCGGCCAAGCAGGUCAGCUGUGAAAACUCGAGGCUCAACCUCGAGACGUCGGUUGAAACCGUUUGGCUAGAGUCCGGAAGAGGAGAGUGGAAUUCCCGGUGUAGCGGUGAAAUGCGCAGAUAUCGGGAAGAACACCCGUGGCGAAGGCGGCUCUCUGGGACGGUACUGACGCUGAGACGCGAAAGCGUGGGGAGCAAACAGG
rnacentral:rRNA from 1 species